rnacentral:rRNA from 1 species
GACGAACGCUGGCGGCGUGCUUAACACAUGCAAGUCGAACGCUGAAGCUCAGCUUUUGUUGGGUGGAUGAGUGGCGAACGGGUGAGUAACACGUGAGUGACCUGCCCCCUUCUUUGGGAUAACGCCCGGAAACGGGUGCUAAUACUGGAUAUUCACUGGUCUUCGCAUGGGGGUUGGUGGAAAGGGUUUUUCUGGUGGGGGAUGGGCUCGCGGCCUAUCAGCUUGUUGGUGGGGUGAUGGCCUACCAAGGCUUUGACGGGUAGCCGGCCUGAGAGGGUGACCGGUCACAUUGGGACUGAGAUACGGCCCAGACUCCUACGGGAGGCAGCAGUGGGGAAUAUUGCACAAUGGGCGCAAGCCUGAUGCAGCGACGCCGCGUGAGGGAUGGAGGCCUUCGGGUUGUGAACCUCUUUCGCUCAUGGUCAAGCCGCAACAAUGGUUGUGGUGAGGGUAGUGGGUAAAGAAGCGCCGGCUAACUACGUG